GAAGCUGCGCAGGUCUCCUCUGACCUUUCUCUUUCAGGUGUGGAGCAGAGGAUCAUGUGGAAGCAGUGAAAAAGCUCCAGAACUCCACCAAGAUCCUGCAGAAGAAUAACCUGAAUCUGCUCAGAGACCUGGCUGUGCACAUUGCCCAUAGCCUCAGGAACAGUCCAGACUGGGGAGGUGUGGUCAUAUUACACAGGGUGGCUGAGGUCCUGGAAGGCAAAGGAGCAGGGAAGAAAGGCCGUUUUCAGGGCAAGGCCACCAAGAUGAGCCGGCGGAUGGAGGCGCAGGCGCUUCUCCAGGACUACAUCAGCACGCAGAGUGCUAAGGAGUGAGGGCUUAGGGCACUCACCUCCUGUUUCCACAGGAAUCUUUUGGUCAAUAAAAUAGAUUGACUCAGAA
rnacentral:lncRNA from 1 species